CUACCGGACAAAUUAAAGGUGAGAGACAGCAAAAAAAGAGCACGCUCUCUGCAAGAAACAAUUCCAGGCAGUGCUCUCCAAGGGCUCCCAGCUUUCAGGCCACGUCUGCGGGGGUCCCGGGGGAAGGGCAGGCAGGAAGCAUCGAGAAGCGCCUGCGGCCGAGCUCCCUCCGAGGCCCGCGGGGCCGCCCCGGGUCAGGAAGCGCGAGGGCCUCGCGCGACCCCCACCCCCGCCCCGGGAGGGCGCGGACGGCCACACGCGCCUGCGCCCGGGAGCAGCCCCUCGCAGCAAGCGGCCGGUGUGCGUCCGCGCUCGCCUCCCCUCCCCGCACGCUUCCCCGACCGCAGCCCGCCGGGGCCGGCCGGGGCCUCAGAACCGCGGGCCUCUCGGCACCGCUGCCUGAGGAGCACAGCCCCAGCUCCUGGCUCCGGGGACCUGUGCACGCCCCGGCGCUGGCAGCCGGCGUCCGCCACUCACCCGAGUACCAAGGGCCGGGAGUCAGGAACCGCAGCUCACACGGAGAAGGCCCCUGCGCCCGCGGCCCUGCAGCUCCCCAACCGCCGUCUGUGCGCCUGCGGGGCAGCCAUCGCCGAGCGCCCGUCACUUCCGCCAUUCAAACGGCCCGCCAAUGGCGGGGCCGAGCCGCGGGCAUCGGCCUGGUCCCGCCUCCCGCGAGGGCCGCCGGGAAGGCCGCGCCGGGGGGGGGAGGGGGGAACCCGCGCAUGCGCCAACCCCUACGUGCGGGCCCAUUAUUCCUCGCAGCUCCCCGGCUGGGCUCUCAGGUGUGCUGCGGUGCUGCCUGCCGUGCCUCAGCUGUGCUCCGUUACGGAUCGGGAGACGAGGUCCAGAAAGGGGGGAUAUUGGCCCAGAGCGUUGGCGACGCCUUUGAUUUUAAGCCCUAUUAGGAAGAUGCCUCGGCAUGUGUAUCCCUUUGUGCACCGACUCUACAGUUCAUUCGGGGCCGUUAUCCUGUACUUAGUGUCCCAUGGCCCUCAGGAAGGGUCCAGCUCGCACACCGGUGAAUCAGAUCGUGGCACUCUGUGCCUCCGGAGAGCCAGUACAUCUAGAACAUGUCCCAGGUUUACUUGCUACAAAUAA
rnacentral:lncRNA from 12 species